rnacentral:rRNA from 1 species
CAGUAGCCGCGGUAACACCGAGGGUGCAAGCGUUAAUCGGAAUUACUGGGCGUAAAGCGCGCGUAGGUGGUUUGUUAAGUUGGAUGUGAAAUCCCCGGGAUCAACCUGGGAACUGCAUCCAAAACUGGCAAGCUAGAGUAUGGUAGAGGGUGGUGGAAUUUCCUGUGUAGCGGUGAAAUGCGUAGAUAUAGGAAGGAACACCAGUGGCGAAGGCGACCACCUGGACUGAUACUGACACUGAGGUGCGAAAGCGUGGGGAGCAAACAGGAUUAGAUACCCCUGUAGUCCCUGUCUCUUAUAC